GGGUUGUGAGGUUAAGCGACUAAGCGUACACGGUGGAUGCCCUGGCAGUCAGAGGCGAUGAAGGACGUGCUAAUCUGCGAUAAGCGUCGGUGAGGUGAUAUGAACCGUUAUAACCGGCGAUUUCCGAAUGGGGAAACCCAGUGUGUUUCGACACACUAUCAUUAACUGAAUCCAUAGGUUAAUGAGGCGAACCGGGGGAACUGAAACAUCUAAGUACCCCGAGGAAAAGAAAUCAACCGAGAUUCCCCCAGUAGCGGCGAGCGAACGGGGAGGAGCCCAGAGCCUGAAUCAGUGUGUGUGUUAGUGGAAGUGUCUGGAAAGGCGCGCGAUACAGGGUGACAGCCCCGUACACAAAAAUGCACAUGCUGUGAGCUCGAUGAGUAGGGCGGGACACGUGGUAUCCUGUCUGAAUAUGGGGGGACCAUCCUCCAAGGCUAAAUACUCCUGACUGACCGAUAGUGAACCAGUACCGUGAGGGAAAGGCGAAAAGAACCCCGGCGAGGGGAGUGAAAAAGAACCUGAAACCGUGUACGUACAAGCAGUGGGAGCCUCUUAAUGGGGUGACUGCGUACCUUUUGUAUAAUGGGUCAGCGACUUAUAUUCUGUAGCAAGGUUAACCGAAUAGGGGAGCCGAAGGGAAACCGAGUCUUAACUGGGCGUUAAGUUGCAGGGUAUAGACCCGAAACCCGGUGAUCUAGCCAUGGGCAGGUUGAAGGUUGGGUAACACUAACUGGAGGACCGAACCGACUAAUGUUGAAAAAUUAGCGGAUGACUUGUGGCUGGGGGUGAAAGGCCAAUCAAACCGGGAGAUAGCUGGUUCUCCCCGAAAGCUAUUUAGGUAGCGCCUCGUGAAUUCAUCUCCGGGGGUAGAGCACUGUUUCGGCAAGGGGGUCAUCCCGACUUACCAACCCGAUGCAAACUGCGAAUACCGGAGAAUGUUAUCACGGGAGACACACGGCGGGUGCUAACGUCCGUCGUGAAGAGGGAAACAACCCAGACCGCCAGCUAAGGUCCCAAAGUCAUGGUUAAGUGGGAAACGAUGUGGGAAGGCCCAGACAGCCAGGAUGUUGGCUUAGAAGCAGCCAUCAUUUAAAGAAAGCGUAAUAGCUCACUGGUCGAGUCGGCCUGCGCGGAAGAUGUAACGGGGCUAAACCAUGCACCGAAGCUGCGGCAGCGACACUGUGUGUUGUUGGGUAGGGGAGCGUUCUGUAAGCCUGCGAAGGUGUGCUGUGAGGCAUGCUGGAGGUAUCAGAAGUGCGAAUGCUGACAUAAGUAACGAUAAAGCGGGUGAAAAGCCCGCUCGCCGGAAGACCAAGGGUUCCUGUCCAACGUUAAUCGGGGCAGGGUGAGUCGACCCCUAAGGCGAGGCCGAAAGGCGUAGUCGAUGGGAAACAGGUUAAUAUUCCUGUACUUGGUGUUACUGCGAAGGGGGGACGGAGAAGGCUAUGUUGGCCGGGCGACGGUUGUCCCGGUUUAAGCGUGUAGGCUGGUUUUCCAGGCAAAUCCGGAAAACCAAGGCUGAGGCGUGAUGACGAGGCACUACGGUGCUGAAGCGACAAAUGCCCUGCUUCCAGGAAAAGCCUCUAAGCAUCAGGUAACAUCAAAUCGUACCCCAAACCGACACAGGUGGUCAGGUAGAGAAUACCAAGGCGCUUGAGAGAACUCGGGUGAAGGAACUAGGCAAAAUGGUGCCGUAACUUCGGGAGAAGGCACGCUGAUAUGUAGGUGAAGCGACUUGCUCGUGGAGCUGAAAUCAGUCGAAGAUACCAGCUGGCUGCAACUGUUUAUUAAAAACACAGCACUGUGCAAACACGAAAGUGGACGUAUACGGUGUGACGCCUGCCCGGUGCCGGAAGGUUAAUUGAUGGGGUUAGCGGCAACGCGAAGCUCUUGAUCGAAGCCCCGGUAAACGGCGGCCGUAACUAUAACGGUCCUAAGGUAGCGAAAUUCCUUGUCGGGUAAGUUCCGACCUGCACGAAUGGCGUAAUGAUGGCCAGGCUGUCUCCACCCGAGACUCAGUGAAAUUGAACUCGCUGUGAAGAUGCAGUGUACCCGCGGCAAGACGGAAAGACCCCGUGAACCUUUACUAUAGCUUGACACUGAACAUUGAGCCUUGAUGUGUAGGAUAGGUGGGAGGCUUUGAAGUGUGGACGCCAGUCUGCAUGGAGCCGACCUUGAAAUACCACCCUUUAAUGUUUGAUGUUCUAACGUUGGCCCCUAAUCGGGGUUGCGGACAGUGUCUGGUGGGUAGUUUGACUGGGGCGGUCUCCUCCUAAAGAGUAACGGAGGAGCACGAAGGUUGGCUAAUCCUGGUCGGACAUCAGGAGGUUAGUGCAAUGGCAUAAGCCAGCUUGACUGCGAGCGUGACGGCGCGAGCAGGUGCGAAAGCAGGUCAUAGUGAUCCGGUGGUUCUGAAUGGAAGGGCCAUCGCUCAACGGAUAAAAGGUACUCCGGGGAUAACAGGCUGAUACCGCCCAAGAGUUCAUAUCGACGGCGGUGUUUGGCACCUCGAUGUCGGCUCAUCACAUCCUGGGGCUGAAGUAGGUCCCAAGGGUAUGGCUGUUCGCCAUUUAAAGUGGUACGCGAGCUGGGUUUAGAACGUCGUGAGACAGUUCGGUCCCUAUCUGCCGUGGGCGCUGGAGAACUGAGGGGGGCUGCUCCUAGUACGAGAGGACCGGAGUGGACGCAUCACUGGUGUUCGGGUUGUCAUGCCAAUGGCACUGCCCGGUAGCUAAAUGCGGAAGAGAUAAGUGCUGAAAGCAUCUAAGCACGAAACUUGCCCCGAGAUGAGUUCUCCCUGAGACUUAGAGUCUCCUGAAGGAACGUUGAAGACGACGACGUUGAUAGGCCGGGUGUGUAAGCGCAGCGAUGCGUUGAGCUAACCGGUACUAAUGAACCGUGAGGCUUAACCUUACAACGCCGAAG
rnacentral:rRNA from 1 species